AUGGGAAUAAGGCAAUGGCCAAAAAAGGGCUUGAAUGUAAAGGGAAAGAAAAAGAAGGCAAAACUAUGUUUGGCAAAGAAAACCAAUGUUGGAAAAUCUUCUUUACAAAAGAAGCUUCAAGAACUUGAGGGGACUGUUCCAGGGAACAAUUUGUUCCAAAGUAUUGAAAAAUACAUACUUCUACUUGAAGCUAAAGUCACCAUCUUAAGGUGUUUGUCCAACUUCUAUGGGGUGUAG